GGUUAAGCGACUAAGCGUACACGGUGGAUGCCCUGGCAGUCAGAGGCGAUGAAGGACGUGCUAAUCUGCGAUAAGCGUCGGUAAGGUGAUAUGAACCGUUAUAACCGGCGAUUUCCGAAUGGGGAAACCCAGUGUGUUUCGACACACUAUCAUUAACUGAAUCCAUAGGUUAAUGAGGCGAACCGGGGGAACUGAAACAUCUAAGUACCCCGAGGAAAAGAAAUCAACCGAGAUUCCCCCAGUAGCGGCGAGCGAACGGGGAGCAGCCCAGAGCCUGAAUCAGUGUGUGUGUUAGUGGAAGCGUCUGGAAAGGCGCGCGAUACAGGGUGACAGCCCCGUACACAAAAAUGCACAUGCUGUGAGCUCGAUGAGUAGGGCGGGACACGUGGUAUCCUGUCUGAAUAUGGGGGGACCAUCCUCCAAGGCUAAAUACUCCUGACUGACCGAUAGUGAACCAGUACCGUGAGGGAAAGGCGAAAAGAACCCCGGCGAGGGGAGUGAAAAAGAACCUGAAACCGUGUACGUACAAGCAGUGGGAGCACAGAGCAAUCUGUGUGACUGCGUACCUUUUGUAUAAUGGGUCAGCGACUUAUAUUCUGUAGCAAGGUUAACCGAAUAGGGGAGCCGAAGGGAAACCGAGUCUUAACUGGGCGUUAAGUUGCAGGGUAUAGACCCGAAACCCGGUGAUCUAGCCAUGGGCAGGUUGAAGGUUGGGUAACACUAACUGGAGGACCGAACCGACUAAUGUUGAAAAAUUAGCGGAUGACUUGUGGCUGGGGGUGAAAGGCCAAUCAAACCGGGAGAUAGCUGGUUCUCCCCGAAAGCUAUUUAGGUAGCGCCUCGUGAAUUCAUCUCCGGGGGUAGAGCACUGUUUCGGCAAGGGGGUCAUCCCGACUUACCAACCCGAUGCAAACUGCGAAUACCGGAGAAUGUUAUCACGGGAGACACACGGCGGGUGCUAACGUCCGUCGUGAAGAGGGAAACAACCCAGACCGCCAGCUAAGGUCCCAAAGUCAUGGUUAAGUGGGAAACGAUGUGGGAAGGCCCAGACAGCCAGGAUGUUGGCUUAGAAGCAGCCAUCAUUUAAAGAAAGCGUAAUAGCUCACUGGUCGAGUCGGCCUGCGCGGAAGAUGUAACGGGGCUAAACCAUGCACCGAAGCUGCGGCAGCGACGCUUAUGCGUUGUUGGGUAGGGGAGCGUUCUGUAAGCCUGUGAAGGUGUGCUGUGAGGCAUGCUGGAGGUAUCAGAAGUGCGAAUGCUGACAUAAGUAACGAUAAAGCGGGUGAAAAGCCCGCUCGCCGGAAGACCAAGGGUUCCUGUCCAACGUUAAUCGGGGCAGGGUGAGUCGACCCCUAAGGCGAGGCCGAAAGGCGUAGUCGAUGGGAAACAGGUUAAUAUUCCUGUACUUGGUGUUACUGCGAAGGGGGGACGGAGAAGGCUAUGUUGGUACGGGCGACGGUUGUCCCGGUUUAAGCGUGUAGGCUGGUUUUCCAGGCAAAUCCGGAAAAUCAAGGCUGAGGCGUGAUGACGAGGCACUACGGUGCUGAAGCAACAAAUGCCCUGCUUCCAGGAAAAGCCUCUAAGCAUAAGGCUGAGGCGUGAUGACGAGGCACUACGGUGCUGAAGCAACAAAUGCCCUGCUUCCAGGAAAAGCCUCUAAGCAUCAGGUAACAUCAAAUCGUACCCCAAACCGACACAGGUGGUCAGGUAGAGAAUACCAAGGCGCUUGAGAGAACUCGGGUGAAGGAACUAGGCAAAAUGGUGCCGUAACUUCGGGAGAAGGCACGCUGAUAUGUAGGUGAAGUCCCUCGCGGAUGGAGCUGAAAUCAGUCGAAGAUACCAGCUGGCUGCAACUGUUUAUUAAAAACACAGCACUGUGCAAACACGAAAGUGGACGUAUACGGUGUGACGCCUGCCCGGUGCCGGAAGGUUAAUUGAUGGGGUUAGCGGUAACGCGAAGCUCUUGAUCGAAGCCCCGGUAAACGGCGGCCGUAACUAUAACGGUCCUAAGGUAGCGAAAUUCCUUGUCGGGUAAGUUCCGACCUGCACGAAUGGCGUAAUGAUGGCCAGGCUGUCUCCACCCGAGACUCAGUGAAAUUGAACUCGCUGUGAAGAUGCAGUGUACCCGCGGCAAGACGGAAAGACCCCGUGAACCUUUACUAUAGCUUGACACUGAACAUUGAGCCUUGAUGUGUAGGAUAGGUGGGAGGCUUAGAAGUGUGGACGCCAGUCUGCAUGGAGCCGACCUUGAAAUACCACCCUUUAAUGUUUGAUGUUCUAACGUUGACCCGUAAUCCGGGUUGCGGACAGUGUCUGGUGGGUAGUUUGACUGGGGCGGUCUCCUCCUAAAGAGUAACGGAGGAGCACGAAGGUUGGCUAAUCCUGGUCGGACAUCAGGAGGUUAGUGCAAUGGCAUAAGCCAGCUUGACUGCGAGCGUGACGGCGCGAGCAGGUGCGAAAGCAGGUCAUAGUGAUCCGGUGGUUCUGAAUGGAAGGGCCAUCGCUCAACGGAUAAAAGGUACUCCGGGGAUAACAGGCUGAUACCGCCCAAGAGUUCAUAUCGACGGCGGUGUUUGGCACCUCGAUGUCGGCUCAUCACAUCCUGGGGCUGAAGUAGGUCCCAAGGGUAUGGCUGUUCGCCAUUUAAAGUGGUACGCGAGCUGGGUUUAGAACGUCGUGAGACAGUUCGGUCCCUAUCUGCCGUGGGCGCUGGAGAACUGAGGGGGGCUGCUCCUAGUACGAGAGGACCGGAGUGGACGCAUCACUGGUGUUCGGGUUGUCAUGCCAAUGGCACUGCCCGGUAGCUAAAUGCGGAAGAGAUAAGUGCUGAAAGCAUCUAAGCACGAAACUUGCCCCGAGAUGAGUUCUCCCUGACUCCUUGAGAGUCCUGAAGGAACGUUGAAGACGACGACGUUGAUAGGCCGGGUGUGUAAGCGCAGCGAUGCGUUGAGCUAACCGGUACUAAUGAACCGUGAGGCUUAACCUU
rnacentral:rRNA from 1 species